GAUAUCUACCAUACUAAUGCACGGAUCCCUUAAAAACGUCGCAGUUAAGUGUGUUUAGACGAUAAUAAUACUAGAAUGGAUGAUCAUCUGAGAAGUAAUCGUGUUGCUCUUC
rnacentral:rRNA from 1 species